AUGGAGAAUGCAUUGCUGAAGCUUUGGUCAAUGGUUGAAGAGAGCAAGUCUGCUAGGGUGAGCGAUAAUCUUCAAAGUGCUUUAACUAUUCAUCAUUUGACAGAAGAAAAGAACAAGCUGGAUGCAGACUAUGACAAGUUAGUGAAAGAUGUGCAUCAACUUGUGGACUUUCAGCAGGAUAGGGUUGUGAGUUUCAGUUAUCUGCAGUCCGCUGUCACAUAUCAGCACCAAUGCAGAGCUGAAUUGGUGGCUGGUAUGAAUGCAGAAAUGGCAAAGAAAGAUGCAGCUAUAGAGAAGUUUCAACAGAAGUAUGAACUCCCGUGCAACCUGACAAGUGCUUAA
rnacentral:rRNA from 1 species